rnacentral:rRNA from 1 species
UACAGAGGGGGCAAGCGUUAUUCGGAAUUAUUGGGCGUAAAGGGCGCGUAGGCGGCAUGGCAAGUGGAUGGUGAAAUCCCUCGGCUUAACCGAGGAACUGCCGUCCAAACUGCUUCGCUUGAGACCGGGAGAGGUGAGUGGAAUUCCCAGUGUAGCGGUGAAAUGCGUAGAUAUUGGGAGGAACACCAGUGGCGAAGGCGGCUCACUGGACCGGUACUGACGCUGAAGCGCGAAAGCGUGGGGAGCAAACAGG